AACUUUCAACAACGGAUCUCUUGGUUCUGGCAUCGAUGAAGAACGCAGCGAAAUGCGAUAAGUAAUGUGAAUUGCAGAAUUCAGUGAACCAUCGAAUCUUUGAACGCACAUUGCGCCCGCCAGCACUCUGGCAGGCGUGCCUGUCCGAGCGUCAUCUC
rnacentral:rRNA from 1 species